AGAGAGAGGGAGGGAGAGAGAGAAAGAGAGAGAGAGAGAGAGAGAGAGAGAGAAAGCGAGAGAGAGAGAGAAAGCGAGAGAGAGGGAGGGAGAGAGAGAAAGAGAGAGAGUGAGACAGCAUCAUCAUGUCUUUCUCUCAGCCCACCUACUGUCAGAGGUGCCAGAUGUAAUUAUGUUAGUGACAGAGACAGACUGAACCAGACAGAUAGCAUAUGGCUCAGGGUAGCUGGCUGAGAGACAGACUGAACCAGACAGAUAGCAUAUGGCUCAGGGUAGCUGGCUGAGAGACAGACUGAACCAGACAGAUAGCAUAUGGCUCAGGGUAGCUGGCUGAGAGACAGACUGAUCCAGACAGAUAGCAUAUGGCUCAGGGUAGGUGGCUGAGAGACAGACUGAACCAGACAGAUAGCAUAUGUCUCAGGGUAGCUGGCUGAGAGACAGACUGAACCAGACAGAUAGCAUAUGACUCAGGGUAGUUGGCUGAGAAUUGUCAUGACUCUCAGGCCCCCACCGCCUGGCUACAUCACUGGCUGUGUCCCUACAGUACCUGCAGCUACAUAUAUAAUUAUUUUAACUACCCCACAAUUCUCCUCUCAUGCUUUGACUAGUUACAGUCACAUAUCUUGCUUUGGCAUGUCGUUACCUGCUCCUUGGAUGACUGGGCCGUACAGAUUCAUCCAGCAGUUACCUGCUCCUUGGAUGACUGGGCCGUACAGAUUCAUCCAGCAGUUACCUGCUCCUCGGAUGACUGGGCCGUACAGAUUCAUCCAGCAGUUACCUGCUCCUUGGAUGACUGGGC
rnacentral:lncRNA from 1 species